CCCCUCCCGGCUCUGGCGACCUCGCCCUCGGCGGCUAGGGGCAGUGGCUAAGGGCUCGGCUGCAGGAAGCGGGCUGCCACGUGCUCGGCUAGGGCCACCCCUGCGGGCCCGCAGACUGGGACGGGGGUGGCUUUCGCUCACCCUGAGGUAUAGGGUGCGACUGUCCGGUUCCCGCUAGGAGGCUGUUCGCUGGUCGGAUAUCAGAGAAAUGGCUGAGAGUUGACACUGAGUGCGCCUUCGUCCCACGAUCGCUUUUUAUCAAUCGAUAGGUUGGUUGGGGUUGCCGCCUUCUUCGGCAAAUCAAGCUGUUAUAUGGGGGGAGUGGCCCCGCCAAGCUCCUUCUCCCAGAACUACACUCAGUCAGCAACUCAACAUCAAGUCACCAUAACUUUGGACCGUGUCUGUGAGCAUCUGUGCUUUAUCUUGAUUGAUUUUGUGUAUCCCUUAGCAAGAUGUGUCCUAAGGAACGCUCCACUUUAGGAGAGAGGGAGAAACCUGUAGUACCCACAUCACGGGGCUCCAUUGCUCUCAGAAAAGUCACCAGUGACAUGCAGAUUGCAAAUCCACUUGGCCUGUCUUUUGUUCUUGUCCUCACUGACUGCUCCGUGUUAUUUGACACUGAUGACUAGUCUUUCCUUGAAAUUUUAACCUCCUUUUGGCUUCAGAGCCCUUGGCUCUGGUGAUCACUGCAUCUGUCUUCGAUCCCUCUUUUGUAGGCUCCUUCACGGCACUUUUUCGCCUCUCCUUUUACCGUGACUCCAUAUGCUGGUGAGUUUUUCUUAAUUUAUUUUCUCUCCACGCAAACUCAGUGCAAUGUCUAGCGGAAGCCUGUCAGAUCUCUGUCACUGUUCUUACCCAGCUUCAGAUCUCCACAUGCUUUAUUUCCAGCUAUUUGUGGGGUAGCACCACCCAGAUAUUCCAAAGGCACCUGCCAUUCUUCGCAUCUAAGUGGGAAUUUAGAUAUUAUAUGUUUAUAAAAAAAUAAAAAUAAAUAAAAAUUUAAAAUGGGAAUUUAGUGUCUUCUCUAACCCUCAGUCUGUCUUCUCCUUCCCAUCUAGUGUCUUCCUCAUUUUGAAUCUCACUUGAAAUUGGAUCUUAUGGUGCAUUAAGAAAGCUAAGCAUUGAUGGGGUUUAGAACCAUGUUACUAGACUGAUACAGGGUCUGCCUGAUAAAUAUUUCUGUUGUGGCACAAAAGACUGCAAGUGGCUUAGAGUAUAUAGACUUUAUGGACCUUCUGUGAAGAGGUCAUCCAGGUAUGG